UCCAGCAAAAUUUGCCAAAACCGAUAGCUCUUUCUCGAUUCUGUGGGGGGCGGGUGGUGCAUGGCUGUUCUUAGUUGGUGGAGCAAUUUGUCUGGUUAAUUCUGAUAAUGAACGAGACUCUGGCAUGCUAACUAGUUAUGUAACCCCCGAGUGGUUGGGGCGUCCAACUUCUUAGAGGGACAAGUGGCUUGACCAGGGGAGGGGCUGCAGAGGAGAACAUGAAGAAGCGGCUGCCAGACUGCAUUGAGGACAAAGAUGGGCUAACGCUCAUGACUCUUGGGCGAUACCAGAUCAUCAACAGUCUGCGAAAGUUCCAGAU
rnacentral:ncRNA from 1 species